GAUGAAGAACGUAGCGAAAUGCGAUAAGUAAUGUGAAUUGCAGAAUUCAGUGAAUCAUCGAAUCUUUGAAUGCACAUUGCGCCCUCUGGUAUUCCGGGGGGCAUGCCUGUUCGAGCGUCAUUAUAACCACUCAAGCUCUCGCUUGGUAUUGGGGUUCGCGGUUCCGCGGCCCCUAAAAUCAGUGGCGGUGCCUGUCGGCUCUACGCGUAGUAAUACUCCUCGCGAUUGAGUCCGGUAGGUCUACUUGCCAGCAACCCCCAAUUUUUACAGGUUGACCUCGGAUCAGGUAGGGAUACCCGCUGAACUUAAGCAUAUCAAUAAGCGGAGGA
rnacentral:misc_RNA from 1 species